AUAAGUAGUUGGUUAAAAGUCUGUAGACAGAAAUAACGUCGCUGUCCCUUUAAGAAACCAGCGUUGCAGGUGCAGUGUCUGGGUGACGCUGCAGUACGCAGACCCGAAGGAGAGAGCAGAGGAGGAAUCGGAAAAAAAAGACCGGUGAAUAAUUAACAGAGAAAAGUUUAUAUUUUAGUAAACAAAACAUAAUUUACCUGGUCGGGAACUGACGAGGAUUUUAUGAGAACUAAGCCAUAUCGAUUUUGGUCAGGUUUUUUGUUCGGUUGGAAGCUUGGUCGGAGCGAGGAUUAAUCUGCCAUGUGCGGCGUGCACAUUCACAGAUGGGAUUCAAGAUGGCGAGCCAGACCUAGACCUUCAAUUCAUCUUCUCCAUUGAGGGAGGGACUUUCCCGCGUGUGGUAAUCCCCUGCCGGAGUGGUAGGGAUAUCAGAAACUAGUUUGAACUGAACUAAAAAAAAA